rnacentral:rRNA from 1 species
CCUACGGGUGGCUGCAGUGGGGGAUAUUGCACAAUGGGGGGAACCCUGAUGCAGCGACGCCGCGUGGGUGAAGAAGCGCCUCGGCGCGUAAAGCCCUGUCAGCAGGGAAGAAAAUGACGGUACCUGAAGAAGAAGCCCCGGCUAACUACGUGCCAGCAGCCGCGGUAAUACGGAGGGGGCCAGCGUGAUCCGGAUUUACUGGGUGUAAAGGGGGCGCAGACGGCGAUGCAAGUCAGGAGUGAAUGCCCGGGGCCCAACCCCGGGACUGCUGUUGAAACUGGGUGGCUGGAGUGCAGGAGGGGCAGGCGGAAUUCCUGGUGUAGCGGUGAAAUGCGUAGAUAUCAGGAGGAACACCGAUGGCGAAGGCAGCCUGCUGGACUGAAACUGACGUUGAGGCACGAAAGCGUGGGGAGCGAACAGGAGUAGAUACCCGUGUAGUC